rnacentral:rRNA from 1 species
GACGAACGCUGGCGGCGUGCUUAACACAUGCAAGUCGAACGGUGAAGCGCCUUCCUUUUUGGUGGGUGUGGAUGAGUGGCGAACGGGUGAGUAACACGUGAGUAACCUGCCCCCUUCUUCUGGAUAACCGCAUGAAAGUGUGGCUAAUACGGGAUAUUCUGGGUCUGUCGCAUGAUGGGUCUGGGAAAGAUAUUGUUUCGGUGGGGGAUGGGCUCGCGGCCUAUCAGCUUGUUGGUGGGGUGAUGGCCUACCAAGGCGGUGACGGGUAGCCGGCCUGAGAGGGUGGACGGUCACACUGGGACUGAGACACGGCCCAGACUCCUACGGGAGGCAGCAGUGGGGAAUAUUGCACAAUGGGCGAAAGUCUGAUGCAGCGACGCCGCGGGAGGGAUGGAGGCCUGCGGGUUGUGAACCUCUUUCGCCAGUGAAGCAGGCCUGCCUCGUUUGUGGGUGGGUUGACGGUAGCUGGAUAAGAAGCGCCGGCUAACUACGUG